rnacentral:lncRNA from 1 species
AUGCCGCCGCUCCCCCCAUCUCCGAUCCACACGUUCGGCCACUCCCGUGAAACUGCCAAAGCUUUUUUUUUGCCUCCCGCAGGCCAAUACAGUAUAGUAUUUGGAAAAGAAAAGGGAAAUGUAUUAAACCUUCUCCCCUUCCUGAUUGGGCGGGGAAGCUUUUGGAACGUUGCGGAGAGAGCCAACGGGAGGCGUCCUGACCAAUCACGGGCAAGGCGCUUCCGAAUGUUUAGCGCGACUCACGUGCGAUUUCCCUUUGAUGAUUGUUCUGGUGUAGCCCCAGCGGAAGCCCCAGCUGGUCAUCAAGGGGCUAGAUCGCAAGCCGUCCUGCCUACACACCACUCACUGAGCAGAACCUCCUGCUGUCCCUUCAAAGGAACCCGAGCCUCCCACCACUCGACUCUCCUUGAUUAGGAACAAAAAGA